UCUCAGGAUAACACCAACCAUGACUUUCACAUACGACAGCGUUCCAAUGAACAGGAGCCAUGAGAGCACCUGACCCGUGAAGUAAAGGACAGGGACUCAUGGCUGCCAUUGCCAUGUUAUAGCUGCCGAAACCGGUCCCAACCACAGUCAGCACACCAAGGAAAACCAGAGACCUGAACAUAAAGAUCUGUAAGCUCCGGUCUCCACCACAUUCCUCAAAAAAAUAAAAGCCUAAGUAWUUUUAAAA